AUUUCCUCCUCCAUUGAGAUGCACGACGCCAAGAUCGCAGCCAGAGUAUUUGCACCCAUUGCAGCUGCGUUAUGCUCUGCGACCACCGUUGGCGCGAGCAUUCAAACGUCAGGUCUAGUUUUGCUGGGAUCUGCUCUAGGCGGUAUCAUCGGGUUCAUCUUAGCGUUUGGCGCCAACCUAUUUCCCGGUGCCCACGUUGUGGCUCUGUCGAUCUCGGCGCUCUGCCUCCUUGUGCCAUCGCUUCAGCCUGUCUUCGUGAAGAUCACCCUGAUUAUGAUCACCGUCUCCGUCACCCACGCUGCUGAC
rnacentral:rRNA from 1 species